rnacentral:rRNA from 1 species
UACGAAGGGGGCUAGCGUUGUUCGGAAUUACUGGGCGUAAAGGGCGCGUAGGCGGCGUGUCAAGUCAGGCGUGAAGGCCCCGGGCUCAACCUGGGAACCGCGCUUGAGACUGGCAUGCUCGAGUUCGGGAGAGGAUGGUGGAAUUCCCAGUGUAGAGGUGAAAUUCGUAGAUAUUGGGAAGAACACCGAUGGCGGAAGGCGGGCUACUGGGCCGAUACUGACGCUGAUGCGCGAAAGCCAGGGGAGCGAACGGG